rnacentral:rRNA from 1 species
UACGUAGGGGGCAAGCGUUGUCCGGAAUCAUUGGGCGUAAAGCGCGUGUAGGCGGUUCGGUAAGUCUGCUGUGAAAGUCCAGGGCUCAACCCUGGGAAGCCGGUGGAUACUGUCGGACUAGAGUACGGAAGAGGCGAGUGGAAUUCCCGGUGUAGCGGUGAAAUGCGCAGAUAUCGGGAGGAACACCAAUUGCGAAGGCAGCUCGCUGGGACGUCACUGACGCUGAGACGCGAAAGCGUGGGGAGCAAAC